AUGGAGGGUGCAGAAGAGAAGAAGAAGAAGGUUCCUGCUGUGCCAGAAACCCUUAAGAAAAAGUGAAGGAAUUUCACAGAGCUGAAGAUAAAGCGCCUGAGAAAGAAUUUUGCCCAAAAGAUGCUUCGAAAGGCAAGGAGGAAGCUUAUCUAUGAAAAAGCGAAGCACUGUCACAAGGAGUAUAGGCAGAUGUACAGAACUGAAAUUCGAAUGGCGAGGAUGGCAAGAAAAGCUGGCAACUUCUAUGUACCUGCUGAACCCAAAUUGGCGUUUGUCAUCAGGAUCAGAGGUAUCAAUGGCGUGAGCCCAAGGUCCAAAAGGUAUUGUAGCUUCUUCGCCUUCGUCAAAUCUUCAAUGGAACCUUUGUGAAGCUCAACAAGGCUUUGAUUAACAUGCUGAGGAUUGUAGAGCCAUAUAUUGCAUGGGGGUACCCCAAUCUGAAGUUAGUAAAUGAGCUAAUCUACAAGCGUGGUUAUGGCAAAAUCAAUAAGAAGUGAAUUACUUUGACAGAUAACGCUUUGAUUGCUCGAUCUCUUGGUAAAUAUGGCAUCAUCUGCAUGGAGGAUCUGAUUCAUGAGAUCUAUACUAUUGGAAAACGCUUCAAAGAGGCAAAUAACUUCCUGUGGCCCUUCAAAUUAUCUUCUCCACGAGGUGGAAUGAAGAAAAAGACCACCCAUUUUGUAGAAGGUGGAGAUGCUGGCAACAGGGAGGACCAGAUCGACAGGCUUAUUAGAAGAAUGAACUAA